UGGUGCAGCCUGGAAAGGUCUUUGUCAAGAGAUUAUGGAGCCCUGAAGACCUCUGUCUCUGCAGGGCUGAGACAUAACACGGGGUUUCAGACCUCACGUGGACGGGGUUCCGGGGCACAGUGCCUCGGACCUUGGUGUCUCCCAAGGCCCUGGGGGUCCUCUAGGUGGAGGUCUUGUGUAGUCCCCCUUGGACAGGUAGGCCCCUGAGCCGUCUCUCUGCAUGCUUGGAUCAAUGAUGAUAACCCAAAAAACAUUCCUUGGAAAAGCUGAACAAAAUGAGAGAACUGCAAACCGUCGUUCUCAUCAUGACUGAGGUCCGGUACGUGUCCUCAUGCGGAGAUGGCAGGAGCGCGGGUGCACGUUCAUGUGCUGAAGUUUGUCAGGCCACCCAGGGAUGCAUCUUAGGGCAGCUUCCUGUGCCCAGAGCCUUAGGCAGGUGGUUUUAGUGGGGUAGGUCCAGCUGGACGAGACCUGGGUUGAAUCGAUCCCAACCUGUUUGUUGGCUGUGUUGGCAACAGACGGGACACCUGGCCUGGCCCAGCCCGGCCCGACCCAACCCAACACAGUUUCCCCUCAGCCCUGUUUUGGUUGGUGUAGUCCCUGCCUCGGUGGGCACUGGUGAGGCCGGACACUGCUCAGGACCAGGUCUGGUUCUCCUGGGAGAGGAUCCCGCUAGCCGUUGUGGAGAUUAUGGCGCCAUGGGAGAGGUGGUUGACUGUGGACAGGGCCUAGGUUCAUUGUGUGAGUGGAACAGGAACGGGAACCUGGAAUUGGCUGGGGACUCCUCUUUGCCACUGCCACGGAGACGAAGCAUUCAGGCUGUGGCUCACCUUUGACAGUUGGUGCAAACCGGGGAGAUGCCAGGAAAUCCAGGAGGCGCUCUUCGCUUUGGGUCCCUCGGCAGGGGUAACCCAGAGCAAGUGUCCCGCAGCGGGGGUGGAGCUCAGUGUCACCCGCUGCAGCUGGGAUUUGCACUUGUGCUCCUGUGCCCACCGAAGGCGCCCUUACGUUUACCGCUGGUGGCAGUCUGUGGCAUCCCUAGUGCCCCACCUCGGAAAUAGCAGGGAAAGGUGUAGGAUGGAUGUGCCCUGGGGCUCUCCCUGUGGGCCAGCCCUGACUUUCGCUGAAGGUCCUGGAGCAGUGUGCUGCAGACUUGCCUUGCUGUGGCCUUGCAAGAGGAGGUCCCUUGGUGCCAUUCAGGGCCAGCUCUCCCAGAUGGACGUUGGGGCAGGAGAAAUGUGUCUGUGUUCCGGAGUACUGUGCUGGGAGUUGUGUCUGUGGGCAGGUGUCGCUCUCUGCUGUCCCUAUGCCGCGAGGGAACUGGCCUACCCGGUCCUGGGUGGGGUUGGCGUUUGUCUGCGUCAAGCCCAUAUCAGCCCCCUUGCCCUGAGGUCCAGUCCCCACGGUUGGCCUCCCCAUGGAAGGUAUCCACCAGCUGGCCUUACUGCGGGCCUCCCUGGCAUGAUGCCGGCCUGGUUUGAGCUUUCCUAAGGUGCGUGGAGUCCACAGACACCUGUAGAAAGAGGGGGCCAUGCUGCGUCUGGCCCCGCAGGUCUCAUGAGGCGGACUUGAGCUGCAGAGGUCCCAAGCUCGUCACUUGGAGGCAUUCUGUUGCCUGCGCGGGGCUCCGGCACCAGGGAAGCUACUGUGUCAGGCCUUGUGGGUGAUGAAGUUGUCUUUGGAAGUCCACAGAAGAAGCACGCUUGCUGUGAGUGUGGCCAGAGCCUGGAAAGUAGUAUUCCUCCUUCUCCUGGGGUCGGCAGUCCCGUGGUACCUGCUUGUCAUCGCCUGAGUCCAGUGGGGAUGCCCCACUGAGAAGCCCCACGUCCCCUGCUUCCCAGGUGGAAGGGGUCGCAUGCACAUUGUGUCACAUUGGGCCCCGGCUUCUGUCCUCAGGGCAGCAGACAUGUCUGCAUUCCUGGCCUGGGAUUCCCUAGCUGGUGCCACCGUCUGCCUUCCACGUGAGGCCUGCUUUUCCAGAAGGGUGAAGGAGGGGUCUCUUCUCACCUCGUAGGGCACCCCACCUCAUCCCCUCACCCAGCCUUCAAAGGUCCAUAGCACCUGUGAUCUGACUUGUCAGUAUGGCCCUUGAAGGUGAGGUGGCACCCCCGUUCGCCAUCCUCAGGUUAUGGGAGAUGGUGUGCUGUAGGCCGAGGGCCCUCGGUGAGCAGCUGUGCCCAGGAAGGGCCCAGGUCAGGUUGCAGUUUGCAAUGAGGGCCUGGGGAGGGCCGCAGGGCAUCAGGGAGAGAAUGUAGGCCCAUGCGGGGGACGCUCCUGAGCCAUCACAGGAAGGACAAGCAGAUGGCAGAGUUAGCGCGAAGGUCAGGGCGGCCCUGGAUAGCUGGAAUGGAUGCCUUUGUCUCCCUCAUGUACGGUGUUUUGUGUCCCUGCUGCUUAGGAGGAGUUGCCACAGCUGGCUGGGCUUCAGCUGUGUGUUUCUGGUUGCGCGAUCCAGAAGGGAUAUGGAAUUGCUGCAAGGGAUGUGCUCUGUUGAUUAUGCACUGUAGUCAGCAUCCCUGGCAUAUAUGUGCACAUUUAUUUUCUUGGAAUUUCCAGCUGGUGGCCAUUAUUUGCCUUUCACAAUGUUGUUUUUUUUUUUUCCCAAGAAGGGGAAAAUGCGGUCACGUCUCACCCUUGUUGGAUACCCUACCCAGUUCCCCAAUCCAGCCUUUGUUAUUCAGAUAUGCCUGUUCAGUGAGCUUGUGAUGCUUCCAGAAGAUUUGCCCAUUUAAGAUGCAGAAGGCAGCCAUGUUCCUUGUGCCCCAAGUGUUGGAGUUGGUAUGUUGUCCAGUGAGGCCCCUUAUGCUGCUGUCAUGAGAUGGUGUACGGUAGUGUGCAGUGUGUUCCUGCGAAGGGGCUGAGGGAGUCACUACCUGCAUUUUGCUGAAUGCAGGAAAUGUGCACACACAGGGAAUUCCAUAUCAUGUCUGUCCUUUGCACACAGAGAAGGAAGUGUUCUCUUUUGCAUAGGAAGCUUCUGAGGUAUCAGGAAAGACAUACAGAUGGUAGAGUUAGAGCAAAGUCCAGGGUGGCAUUGCAUGGGUGAACGGGAUGCCUCCGUGUCCCUCACAUAUGGAGUUUUCCUUGUGCAUUAUUCAGGGAGUUGCUGUGGGAUGCGUGCUGUCUGCUGUGUGUCCCUGAUGUCUUCGUCCCUGUGGAGCUGUGAAGUUGCUGCAUGCAUUGUGUCUCGUUGAUGGGCUUUGUGCUUGUGAUGGGUGAGGACAGUAAGCAUUUCUUUUUGCAAGGGGUAGAUAUUGUCCUCAGGACCUUGUCAGCAUCACCAGGACCUAGGUCUCUAUGGGCCAGAAAUGGGCUUUGGGUGUUCAUGCCUCAGGUGGACCAUGUGUUCCUGGAGCACGGUGGCAGGGUCCAGUGUCCUAAAGCCCUCCAAGGUCUUCUCUUGUUAGACCAGCAAAUAUGCCUGUGGCAUCCUUAAGUGUGCUUGGAUCGAUGAUGACACCCCAGUUACAUUCCUUGGAGCUGAACAAAAUGAGUGAAAACUCUAAACCGUCUCUCUCAUCAUGACUGAGGUCCAGAAUGCUGCCCCACACAGUGACUGCAGGAGCAAGGCUGCACUUGAGAUGCUUACGUUCCUUCUACCACACGGGGUUCAUCCCUGGUUAGGCCCAUGCCCCCAGGUUCUUAGGAACAUGUCCUCAGUGGGUUGGAGCCAGCUACUUGAGUUUUGGGUUGAAGUAUACAUGACAUGUUCAUGAGUGGUCAAUUUGUGGUGGGAACAGAUGCUGAAGACUUCACCAGUUUCCCUGGAGCCCAUCUUUGGUUGGUAUUGUUAGUGCCUCCGAUUGCUGGGCAUUAGUGAGCCCUGACUCUGCUCAGGGCCUGUCUUCAUUGUCCUGGGAAAGUGCAUGACCAGCCCUUAAGGAGAAGGAAUUCGCUGACUGUGGACAGGGUCUUGGGUAAUGGUGCAUAUGGAACAUGACCCCGUGACUAGUCAUAUGUGGCAGCUGCUCACCACCAGUCCUGGACGGAAGAAUGUUCACUUUUGGGCUCACCUUUGACUGUUGGUGGCAACUAGGUUGGGAAUUGUAGGAGGCUUUGACUUUGGUCCCUGUGCCCAGGAAGUCCCAGAGCGGAUGUCACGGGGAGACUCUGUGAGGCUCACAUCAUCUGCUUGGUGUGGUUCUUCUCCCAUCCCCCAAAUCCUGCCACUGAGAAUGUGCCCUUGGUUUUUCUGUCCCUGGCAGCCUGUCCUAGUGUAGCUGGUAGGGGUUGAGGGUCAGUUUGGCCUAUGGCUUCCUCUGGUGGCCACAGUUCCAUUUUGCUAAAGGUCACAGAGCACACUGUGCUCCAGAGUUGUCUUCCUCUUCCUCUUUCCUUGCAAGCAGAGGUCCCUUGCUGUGUUCUUUUUUUGGGCGGUACCAGGGGUUGAACUCAGGACCUUGCGCUUAUGAGGCAGGCGUGGUGCCACUGAGCUAAAUCCCAGGUACUCUUGUUUUCUUAAGGGCCAGCCAUCUAAGCAGGAAGAUUUCAGUAGAGAUGUGGCCGUGUUCCUGUGUGCUUUUUUAGGAGAUCUCUCUGCGGUCAGGGGUUACUCUCUCGUUUCCCCAUUCCAUGGUACUGUUGGCCUUACAUGAGCCUGUGGAACACUGGAGCAUGUCCAUGUCAGGCCAUGCUCAGCCCACGGACCCAGAAGUCCAGUCGCCACUGAAUGGGCUCCCCAUUUGUCUAACUCAGCAUGAUGUCAACAAGGGUGGGAAGUACUGGAAGAGAUCUCUCUUGCUCAUCCUCAAGGUGCCCUGCUGGUUGGAGGAUGUGAUGCUUCCCAAGGUGUGUGGCGCUCUUGGGCCCCACAGAUCAGGUAUGGUCUGUCUGGCCGGGCUGUCCAUUGGAGGUGGGUUUGAGUCAUAGAGGCCACAUGCAUGUAGCCUCUCUGUUGUGUUGUAGGCGGUAGGAGGUCCAUUGUGUCAGGCUUUGUGGGUGAUAGAACGUCUUCUCAGAGGUCCAGUGGAGAAGGCACCUGAACAGCAGGAGUUUCCUUGGUAGGCCAGCCUUCAGCUGAGUGUUCCUGGGUUCCUGAGGACAGAGAAGCCUUGGAGGCUGCAAGUCUCGUGUCCUCUUGAUGAUCUCCACACCUGAGGAUGGUUGAGAAUAGACAGCUGCUGAGACUGGUCAUCCAUCACUGCAUGUGCCAGAUUUCUCAUUCCUGGUGACUCCAGGCAGUUGCUGUAAGACUUAUGUCCUGUCGAUGAGCUCUGUACGUGUGGACUGUUGAUGAUGGUUAAAGUUUGGAUCGAGUCAGAGUGCUGCAUUAGGGAAAUGAGGUGGAGGAGGCCUGCCAUGAGACCCCCAUGUCAGAAAGCAAAGGUGCGUAGCAAGGGCAGCUUCCCUGGAAGUUCAUACACUCUGUGUCCUGGGCCCCAUCUUCAGGCCUCAUGUUUGUUCUUCCAGAGGUGUUUUGGACAAGACAUUUGGAAGGGUAUAAAGAUUUUAACUGAUAAAGAACUGUGUGUGAAGUACUUGAUGCUUGUGAAAGAUAAGCGUGAUUUUCAUCUUGCUGGUUUCACAAAUGACAUUAGUUUGCAUUAGUCAAGUGGAAUGAUAAUGGAAUUUCAUAUAUGGAAUCAUUAUUUGUUAAGGUAGAAACAUAUAACAGAAAGAAAACCCUUUUGUAUUUUAGUUAAAAUAAUUAUUUAGAUUUUUGUUUCCUGGAACAUUGAAAGGUAUGUAGCAUUUUUGGAAUAGGUAAAAACUUUUUAUAUUGACAAACCUGCCACCAAUUUUUUCUAAUAAUAACUUUUGAGUGUUCAUGUUAUUUUUUCACAUGAAACUAUGUAUUUCAGUAUGUGUAUUCAUUUCUCUAGAAUCAAGUAAGGUGAUUGAAAAGAGCUAGAUACCAAUAAGGAAACAUGAUGAAGAGUAAGAAGUAUAGGCUGUUGGAGGAAAGAGCCCUCCUACAUAGACAUGCAAGCUAGAGAGUCCAUCUGUAGAAACAUUCUUUAGGGUCAGCACGAACAGGAAGAGCACUGGAAUGUGAUCUUGUCUAUUAUAAGUCUUUACUUUGCACAUUUGUCUAUAUGUGUUAGUUUCUAAAUAAUUUUCUGUACAGUGGCUGCUCUUAGAGGAAGUAAAUUGAUAUGCAGUCUUUCCACUGUGAAUCACAAGUAUUAAAAUGUGCAACCGAAUGCAUUUAUGUUUUUAUAAAAAGGACUUUCUAGAAAUGGAAGGUGAACUGUGAUACCAUCUCUCUUCCUUUGCGUUUCUAUUUCCCUGCAUUGUGCACCCCACGCAAUAGAGCAAGAGGAAGAAAUGAGCCUCAGUGAUGUUUGGAGGGAACACAACUGUGUUUGCCAGUGACAUGAUGGUCUGUUUCAAAAUCCCAAAACAUCUAUAUGAACAUUCAGAAUGAAAAAGCUGAGUUUAGUAGGUUUAGGUGAUGAAGUUAAUAAAUGAAAACAAUCAAUCAUAGUGUUAUAUAAUAAGAAUGAAAAAUUAGACUUUGAGUAAAUAAUUCUUUAGCAUUUUAUUGAUGUGAUCACAAAUUUAUGUGAUGCUCUGUGCUAAUCCAGUAUAUUUACACAGUGUAUGAUGGUCAGGUCAUGGGAGUGAGCAUUUCCAUUUCCUUGUGGAGGCUUUGAAAAGAGGAUGAUCUGAAGAUGCUAUGGAGAUUGCUAGAACGUAAGGAGGGUGACAGGGAGGGGCUAAUGGGGUUCAGGUAACAGCUGCACAAAUGUGUUCAGGAAGAGACAGCAAGCAACUGUGGGGUGAUGCCAGUUCACGGGUACCUGUCAUACUUUAUGAAUAUUUCAUGAAUAUGGUAUCAGCACUUGUGGCUUGGGGUUCUCCUGCUUGUGGCCGUUGCUGGUCUUCUCCAUUAGGUUUUCCUCUUAGAGGAACAGGUUUGAAGUCUCCCUGUGGGAAGUACACUCCCCCCGUUCCCUGUUCCUUGUUCGGAGGAUGCAGGUCCACUGUCCAUCAGUGUGCAGUCCCUCUGUGGGAGGUGCUGUUGCCCAAGGACAUGGGGCCCUGACUGCAGUGCACACAGAUGAUGGAGUUAUGCUGCGAAGGGCCCUUGCUGUGCUGCUGUGCCUGGAAGGGGCCCAGCAUGAGUCUGGCCAAGAGCAGCACUCCACAGAUGUUGGCCAGAGAGAGGCAGACACACGCCCAGUGAAGCACACACCUCAGUCAUCCUGUGCACACAUGGAAGCAACACACUCAUGCACAUGGAGGAUCCCGAGGGCCAGUCGCUGUGGUAGGCACGCCGUCAGCUGGGUGUUUCCGGUUCCUGGGCCCUGGAGCACCCUAUGAGGGCUGCAAGCCUGUGUCCCCCCGAUGAGCUCCAGGCCUGUGGAGUGCGCAGGAUGGGUGAGUUGCUGUGGCACACAUGCCUCUGCUGGCUGGGCCUGCCUUCUGGACCCCAGAGGAGCCUUGGAGGGCUGCCAGCCUUGUGUCCUCAUGACCAGCUCCGGGCUUGUGGAUGUUCAGGACAGUGGUACUGCCAUGUGAUGGAUUCCAGAGGACUACCAGGAAGACUUCUUUAUCCUAAGAUACAAUGAGAGGUGGUUUUGCCUUGUGACAGAUUCCAGGGACAAGAGGGAAGAUUAGCAUGUCCUGAGGCCCACAGAGAGGUCAAAAAACCCUGCAGCACAUGUGCAGAGGCUUCUUCUGAAUGUUGAUGAAUGGCUGAUGAUGGUGACCUUGCCAUAUGAGGGACUCCAAACACUUAGUGGGAAGAUCUGUAUCUCUUCAGAUCGCUAGAGAGGUCAGCAAGCCCUGGGACACAUCUGGAGUAUCUUCUUUUGUUUGAUGAUGGAUGGCUGAUGACAUUGGCUUUGCCAUGUGAUGGAUUGCAGGGACCUAGAGAGAAGAACUGUGUACCCGAGACCCUCAGAGAGGUCGACGUGGAUUGACCUCAUUAGGGUAGCAGUGCGUGUCUGAUGAAGAUUGCUGAGGCACAGCAUGAAGACCUGCAUAUCCCGAGAGCCCUGGGAAGCUCUGGAAACCACGGAGCUAUAUGAAGUGGCUUCUUUUGGACGGUGGAGGAUAACAUUUAUAGUGAAAUUAAAGAGAAGAUGAAGUAUGUCCGAAUUCCCUGGAAUCUUGUCGCCAAACCAGAGAAGUGCUGAUUUUGUCACUUGUACCAACUCCCUCAUCUGUGAAGGAAUAAAACAAUGUACUCCUGGGGUAACGUUCAUUUUUAAUAAACGUAUUUUUGUGUAAUUUGAGUAUUUUUAAAAUUAUCAACAAAUUAAUGUGUGAGCAGUUGAUAAACGCAAGUAUUAUUGGCCAUUACCAAUCUGAUGAGCUGUCUGAGAUGUCACUCAUUAAGAUUUUGUGCUUUUCUCAAUUUCAGAUAAUAUCUAAAAUAUCUUACAGAGAUUUAUAAAUUACUGUAUUUUAUAUACAGAUUAAUAGUAAAAUCUAUCUUGUGCAAGUAUGAAAAAUGUGCAGAGUCUUCCUCCUAUUCAUUCAUAUGUAUAUUUGUGUGUGUGUGUGUGUGUGUGUGUGUGUGUGUGUGUGUAUUACUUUCUGCCGGUCAAAGAGGACCAAGAACUGGGCUUCAUGUGGAUGAAUUUAUUCUUUCCUUUUUGUUUGACACAAAGGAAAGUAUAAGGAAAAAUUCACCCUCUCACUCUCAAGGUUCAGUGGGAGUCUCGUCUGGUAAGCAUUUUUCCUGAAAACACUGACAUUUCCCUUACAGCACCGUAAUAGUCCGGUGAGCCUGGACUGCAGCAACACUAGGCAACUUUGGGGCUAGUACUUGGCGGUGGCACUGGUCUCCUAUGGGCAAGAAAAUAGUCUAAAUCAAAAGAGAAUGAGGCUUUUUACUCUUCAUUUCUCUAGUGAGUGAAGGAAGUAUAUGGAAACUGAAAAGUGAUUAUGUAGGAUCUUCAUAGUAUAUUUUAAGUUUCUUGCUAACUAGGCUCUAGCAUUGAAUUGUUUCUUUUUUCUCAUAGGCUGAGUGAUUUCAUAUACAAAUGAGUGUUAGCUUCAGCUACAAGCAUUUUAGAUGUGAAAUGAUUAUGUUUCUAAUUCUUGUUUUUAUGUGGAUUUUCUUGGCCAGUUUUAUAUAUCCUCAAAGGGUUUUCAGCCAUUUUGAAGAUAGACCACAGUUAUAAUGUGGUGGGUGUACUAAUGACACUUCAAGACCAGUAUUUUAGAAAUUUUAUUUCUACAAUUUCAUUUUUUUCUGUUUUCUAGUAUUAUCCCAUUUCAUUUUAUUUCUAUUCAUCCACAUUCCACAGAGUUAGUGUUAAUUGUUCUUGUCAUACAGAUGGUUAAAUGAUUACCUGGAAAAUUCUUUGCAAGCACUUGUUGCUAAAUACUCAGUUAGGUAAGUUUUGCUUUCCAAUUCCCCAAAUCCUCUAUUGUAGAUUGGAAAUGAUGUUGAUGGGAAGGAACAAAAGUUUGCUGCUUGGAAUUCUUACUAACACCAAAGAAAGACAAUUUUUGUCACUUUAGUUUGUCACCAGCUUCUUCUGUGUGAGAGAUCAAAAUGAUGCCUGCCAUUUUUAAUACAUGUAUUUUUCUAAGUGAUUUUUAUUAGUAAGUUAGAAUUAAAUUUCUUUUACAAAGUCUGUUAAUCCAAAUAGUAUAAGACAUUAGUAAAUUGGUGAAACAUCCAGGGCUUCUUUUUCCUCCCUCAGAAUUUUGCACUAUCAGUACUAUAAUGAUAUCAGAAACAUCUCAGUAGAGUUAUAAGUUAAUAUACCUUCUAUGCAGACACAUAAUAAAUCCUCUUAUCUGGUACGUGGACACAUGUGCUUCUCAUGUUCUCACAUUUUUACUGUAUUCCCACAGGUCAACACAUACCAAAAAUAGGUUAUAUAUGAAAAAGUUUAUGCAUUGCUCUUAAGACAUAACAUGAAGGGAAUUGUUAGAAAUAAUUCUACCAUCCAUUCUUGAGACAUAGUGGAAAUUCUCACGAUAAACAUUUUUUCCUGCACAUGACAAUGCUGAUACUCUUCUUAGGGAAUUGCAACACUGCAGUGAUAAUGAGAGUCUGUCUGUGCUGGUCAGUCAUGGGCUGGCUCAUUGUAUUCCCUGGUCUCCAUGACUUAAUAGUGUGCAAGAGGGGUGGGAUAUUUAGCAUUUAGUAUCUGUCACCUGUCCCUUUUACAAAUGUGCUGGAUAAAGGAUGACUGUAAUAAAUGAUCUAUUGAGAAUGUAUACAAAAUAAGCAACAGCUGCUUCUCUGUAAGACAUAGAAUGGGCUACAUGACAAAGUCAUUUUUAAUCUAAAGUACAUUGUGCUAAUUUAAGUUCUGGAAGUGGGUGGGGUAUAGGGCUGCAUGGUUGUGGAUACAAUUAAUGUCAAUGAAUUGUACACUUAAAAAUGAUUAAUUGUCUUGUGCAUAUUUUACUACCAAAACAAAACCAACUACAUUUCAUAAACACUAGGACCACUGUGAAGAAAAUAACUCAAAAAGAUUAGAAGAAUUUCCAAAGAAUUAAAAUAGCAUCACAGAAAAUACCUAUUUUUUACACAAAAAAAGGCAUUUAAAAAUGAACAAAGAAUCAAAGAGACAUAGACAUAGGAAACAGAGAGGAAAAUGACAGUCAUAAAUCCGGCCUUAUGACAGUUGCCUUCAACUUUUGAAGAGACUGGGAUAUUCUAUGUUUAAAAAAAAAAUGAAGUCACUGUAGACUAUCUACCACCAAGACACUCUUAAAAGUCACAAAUAGUUUGAAUGAGAAAAGCUGCGAAAGAGACAGAGACAGAGAAAGAGAAGAAAGAGGGAGGGAAAGAAUUCCUAGAAGAUAGCUGGAGUGGCUAUACUGACAUCCCAGAAAACAGACUUGAAGAUAAAAUAUUGCUAGAGAUAAACAAAUCUAUUAUAUCAUGGUAGAAGGUUAAUUAUACUCUGGAAUACUUAAUAAUUAUAAUCAUACAAUCACUAACAACAGUGCUCCAAGUUAGGUAAAGGAAAAGAUCACAUGAUGAAAUGGAUAAAAGGUAAUUCAACAGUAAUAAGACUUUUAUCCACCAACUUGACCUUGGGGGGCAGGAGGAGAAUAUACAAAGAGAGAUUAGGUUAAAAAUAUACUCAUUAAACUUAAAAGAAUUGAAAUUAUGUAGACUAUGUUCUAUGCUGAUAGGAAAAAUAGAAGUCAGAACAAAAAUGAAUUUGGAAAUUGCCAAAUAUUUGGAAAUUAACACACUUUAUAGAACCUAUGGAUGAAUGAAAAAGUUUUAAACCAUAACAUUUUAUACUGAAUGUAAUACAACUAAUGAUGUGCUUAGUGAGAUGACUACAUUGGAAUAAAGAUAAAUAGCUCAAGCUUCCAGUUAAAAAAAUAAGAAAAAUACUAAGAAAAUGAAGCUAAAAGCAACCAGAGGUAAGUAAAUAAUAAAGAUGUGAGAAAAAAUUGAUGACAUAAAGAAAGAAAAAAAUAGAGAAAAUCCAUGAAACCAAAAGUUGGGGUUAUGCAUGAAUGAGUGUAACUGAUAGAUCUUUAGUAAAUGGACACACUUAAAUUAGGAUUGAAAGGAAAUAUCAGGAAUGUUCUUGGUUGCUUUGUUGUGCUUCCUCCAGGGGAGAUCUAUGGAGGAAGACAAGGUUCUAGUAUCACUUACUAUCCAGCAUGGCAUUUACAUUUGGGUUCUGCUGGUAUCAGUACUCAUCCUUGUGAAUUUUCCAGAAGAUCCUUCAAAAACGUAGUAUCACUGAUUACAAAUUGAUGUGUUUAUAGCCACUUAGAAUUUUUUAGCUAAUUAUGUAAUCUAUUUUUAAUAGACUUAUAGUUGAUCAGUAUUAAGAGUAUAAUGAGUCACUCAUAGUUUGGAUACUUUUAAAUUCUAGCAGUUUUGAUAUCCCUGUGCUUGGCUUAUAUCAUAAAGGCAUUGGGGAUCAAGGCUGUUUGAAUGAUUCUGUCUUUUAGGAAGGAAGAUGGUAUUGGGCCAAAAUGAGGCACCUGGUUGAGAGAAUGUCACUGAGGCCUCAGCAGUGUGCCCUGUUGGGUAUGAGUUUUGGAAGAAUGUGGUAAAUUCCUACACUUUUAUGUGGACUCAGUGUGCACUUGGAAUGUGUUUACCCUUCUCAUCCAUUUAGCCAUGAAGUUUCCAGUUCCAUGCCCCUUCUCAGUUGCUCAGUGUAGUCCAGGCAGAUAGCUGCCCUUUAUAACUGCCUCCUGGUUGGCAUAGCUUGACAGCCCCCUUGACUGGCACUGUUGACUCCCAUUCCCCACGCAGAAUGUGCAGAUGCACCACAGUGACCACUCCCCAUCACAGUGUGAAUCCAUGGAACUCAUGCCCACUUGCUUUAAGCUCAUCAGUGAAAUCCAAAGGGAAACCUGUUUGAAGAGCACCCUGGUGUCUGUCUGUCUCUGUCUCUGUCUCUGUCUCCUAAGAAAUAUAUGGAUGUGGAUCUGGGGCAGAUAUAUAUCUCCUCUCCCUCUCCUGUCGGGAGCAAUUCUACAUAAUUUGGGGGAGAAAUCAUUUGAUUAGGCCUAGUUCUCCUGCCUACAGGCCAGCUACGGCAUUUCGAGACAUGGCUUCAUUUUGGCCUUUGGUCACAACUGAGACCUCAAUGGUCCAGUGAUGCUGUGAUGCUCCCAGGGCAGGAUUACACCAGCUGAAGACAUCCUGGGAAGAAUGAAAUCUUCAUCUACUCAGUUCCUCAUUGAUCUAGGAUUUCCCCUGCCCCCGAGUCAUUUGUUACAUUUAUUUCUCCCGAUGUACUGAAUAAAGGUGUGACAAGCUCAGGGCCUUUCGUCUUUGCCACCCAGAGCAGUACUGAUCGGGCGCAAAGUGUAGCUUCUACCUUUCCUGUAUAAUAAGUUAAUUCACCUUGUGCUGCCGUGGCUCACAGGAGAGUAGGACUCAACUACAGAGGUCCUAGUAACGUCCCCUUCCCUGUUCCUACACCCUCCCUUUUCCCCUACUCCUUACUCCCUUCCCUCUUUCCGUGCACUUCCUGACCUCUAUGUGUGACCCCAGGCAUGCCAUGUACUCCCCAGGACCUGUAAGUGACACAAUCUUUAUUUUUAUCUUGUGUCUAUCCUAAUUAUUGAAAGGGUGUUCUUUAUCUCCCUGAUCCUAAAUUGAAGCAAACAGGAAGGGAAACUGCUUCCCAGCACUGUGCAUGACAAGCUGCAACAUCCUAUAUGAACUCACCGAUUUAGUUAUUUUUCUCAAGUUACUGUACAGAGUAUGUUUUUGCAACAUAAUUGAUAAUCCUCAUGGAUGAAAAUUGGUUCUUGAAGAUGAAAAAAAAUCUUUAUUAUCUUAACUGGCUUGUGAGAUACAUAAACAGAUAUAUAGCCUACCCGUCCUACUGAAAUUUGAGCAGGGUUGGUAUGGAUUAAAAACCAAAGAAAAAUGUCUAAAAAAUUAUCCAAGGAUGAUAAAAAGAAUAGGCUGAGAAGGGCUGUUUUACACAUAUGGAGAAAUUAGCGUUUCUUCCAUCUGAACCUCAGAACCAGGUGUGAACUGUAUUGUUGGUACAGUUUGUCAAGAUUGCCUUAGCACGGCAGGCUUUGCAGAGACCAUGAGUUUAGAAGGCUGUAUUUCUUUUCCCAGUUAAAGACACUUCAUAGCUGUUUCUUCUGCAGUAUGUUAGUUUAAACCUUUACCUAAGAGAUGUGUCCGUGUGUGUGGUUGCUUUGAAGGAAACAGCUGUUUGUCUUCUGUUGGAAAGGCAUUUGCAAUUCAGAAAACUCAGCUGGCCCAGGUUCACAUCCAUGUAUUUGUUGGCAGGAAUUUUCAGAACCAAAUUUAGUAUAUGUCUGAUACCAAAGAUUUAUGUGUACACAGUGAUUUGCCAUUACUCUGGCCCCCCAAAAUUUUCAAACCUUUGUUUAGCCCAAACCAUUGUAUAGUGCGACCCACUUAAAGGAUGAUUUAUGGUGAACUUACACGUUUUUCUCUUUUUAAUAGUAAUCUGAACAAACAAGAAAGUAUAACAGUCAUUUGCUGUCUGAAUAAUAUUUCUUUAUUGUCAUAAUAUUAUUUCUAACUUUCUCCUCACGAGGCCAAAUCUGUGUCUUGGUACACUAAGGAAACCACUAAGAAGUACCCUGACUCCACAAUGUAAACACUAGCACUCCAGGGCCUUUGGCAGAGGUCUCCUGUCACUGUCUGCGUCUACGCUCUAAUCCCUUGUGGUACAGGCUGCGGUAGCAACAAGAUGGCAUAAUUCAGGGCUAGAGCCACCCCAAACACUGUGUUUCCCAGGUUCACUGAGAGAAGAAUAUGUAGAGUCUCUUAAGCUAUUUCUGCUUGCGGACCAUGAACUAUCCUUGAAUAGUCCAUGGAGCUUGAGAUAAUUAGGCAAAGAGUAGACAUGAUUUCUAUAGUUCAUCUAAAAGUUUCCUCAACAAUAUCACCCAGCAGUAGACAGAAUAUCCAUCCAGAGAGAGUUAUACUGAACUUCUUGUUUCUGACUCUGAACAAUUACAUUUAAAACUGUUUCAUUUAUAAAUUUGAUUUUAUUCUGCUUUAGAAAAAUUAAAAAAACUUUUAUUGCUUUUUUGAUAUAUUUCUCUACAUUUUGAAAGAUUAAUCAUCUUUCCAAAUAGUUAUAUCUUUUGUGUGAGUGUAUUACAAAUAUUUUCCAGAGUUUUAUUUUGUAACAUCCAUACUUUAAUUGUGCAAUAUAAAAGACACCAGAAACAAGUGGCUAUUUAAACCUGAAUAUAAAUUAAUUAAAAUUAAACAUUAGUUGUUGAGUCAUACUAGCUGCAUUUUACAUGAGGCUAGAGCAUAUCUCUAUGAGUGAUCAUACUCUUGCAGGAAUGACCACCAUGAGGGCAGGGAACUGCAUUUUUGUAGGUAAGAGGCCUAUAGUGUAUAAGAGUAGAUAGAACCACAUGUGGACAGCAUGGAAUUAUAAAAUAUUUUCACUGUCAUAUCACCAAGUUCUGUUUCAUGCAAAUUGUUUAGAGCCGCUACAUGUAUCAGUAUAUGAUACAAAGAUGCAGAUGUGAUAAAUACAAGCUCUAUAAAAUGUUGAAAUCUUAGCUAAGAUUAUUCAGAGGAAAGUGUGUUUGAAAAUAGAAUUAUAAACUAGCAUAUUGAUAAAUAUUUCUAAGUUUGGUGACUUUAGGAAGCAAGAACAUAAAGUAAAGCUGUCUUCUAUCAAUGUUUAUAUCUAGAAGACAAAUGCAAGUUUUAAUUUUUAUUGUAUGUUUUGGCUUGGCUUUUCUUUGUAGGUAAAAGUUACAAUUUUAUACUUUAUAUUAACCUAGUGUUUGAAGAUAACUUAAUGGGCAACAGGACAAUAGAAGAAAAUCUGUAAAUACAUUUGGUAAAAUUUGUAAUUGUAUUCUGCAGAUGACUUAAAAAGAAUAUCCGAGUGAGAUAUAUACUGUUUCUCAUUUGUUCAUUGGGUAAUCAACAAAAUUGUGGUGAGUAAGUCACAUUUAAGCCAUUCAUUGCUCUAUGCAUUUUAGGGGGACUCUGAUAUGGUAAUCAAAUAUAUUUCUCAUUUUGUCACAUAUAGAUGUUUUAGUCAUAUUGGAAUUGUUGAAAAAUUACUGUAUUGAAAAAUUACAUGCUUUCUUAAAAAUAACCUAAGUAAUGAUAUUGUAUUCAUGUAUGUCUUUUAGAUGAACAAUAGUUAGGACAGUUUUGAUUAUUGUACAUGAACAUAUCCUUUUACUAGAUUAUUGCUUUGGGACAAAUUUUAGACUAUUGUAUUUUUUUAAAGAGUAAUGUAAUUUAAUGCAAUUUCUUUCCCUGUAAAGAUGGUCUUGUGAAAAUGGCUGAGGUAGAAAUAAAAUAAUCUAUCAAUAGAAUUGACAUAUGGAAGGGAGCUUUCCUUUGAGUUUAAUAGAGACCAUAUUUUUGUUGCCAUGUAUAUAGCAAUAAAAUUUUUAUUUUAUAGCAUUUAGCCUAACAGAACAGGAUAUUUUAUCUUGCUAACAUAAUUAUUAGCUGGUCCCCCUCUCUGUCCAUUGGACCUUUGGGGAAAGAUAGAGCAUACACAUUUGUGCUCGACACUGAGAACUUAGCAACAUCCAUCCUUCCUACUCUGUGUACACCACACUUCAUGAACAACAUUUUCUUAGAUUACAUGUGUGCACUUGUGUGAGUAUGGCUUAUUUGUACACAAAGGUAUGUGUGCAUAUAUGCAUUUGUUUUCUAAAAUGUUAUUUUCCCUCCUUUUUUCCUUCUUGUCAGGUGAAGAUAAAGCCCAUACAGGAGGGGCAGUUGUUCAGGCACUUGAAUUAACUCCCAAAUGUUAGUUCCAGAAAAUGAGCUGACAGCAUACUUUCCAAUCAAAGUCUCCACUCCUGUGGUCUCUUGGACCCUCUUGCAGGAAAUGACUUUCUGGGAGUGACUGCCACCAGUAAAUCCUUGAAAGAAGAUUCCGCAUAAAGCUCUUCACAUACAUAUUGUCCAAGACAAACUCUCUGAAGGUGGCGAUCACAGUGGUGGUCGAGGUGAUGUGUUACAGUUGGAGCUGUUACUUCUACCACCAUCUGCACCAAAACAGUGACAGUUUUCCUUUGCUGGAGAGUCCUUCUUUCCCGUGUGGCAGUGGAUACCUUCUGCAGAUAAGAAAUGCUUAACUGAGAAAUGCUCAUGUUGGGAUGUCAUCGAUGAGACUUUAAUUUGGGCAUGGUGACUAUUUCCCUUCCUGCCACUUGACUCAAUCCCAGGAGCCUCAGUAGAGGAAAUAUUUUUGCACAAGAAGCUCAAAAUGGUGGAAUUUCUCAGUGCUCCUAUAAAUAUACAUUUACAAUUUGUAUUUGCCACAUGGGAUAAAUUUUAAAGUAGGAUAUAUUCAAAAGAAACCACAUGAUUUUUUUCAAAAAUUCAAAGCGUAUUCAAAUAAUUAAUAUAUAAAUUAAGUGCCCUGCUCUCUUUCAAUUCUAUAGUUUUCUCUAUUAAGGGAGGUGUGUGCAUUCUUUUAAUGUAUAGAUGUGCACAAGCUGUUUUUUGGAGGGGUCUAGAAGUGGGUCCAUCUUGUAAUAUAUUCUUCUGAAAAUUGCCUCCUUCAUUUACCAGUCUUUUCAAUGGGCAUUUUCUAAUAUAUACACAUCUGUGUCAUUUGGUGAGUGACUGCAUGAUUGUUUUGUAGAUGAAAUAUAAUUAAAUGUUUGAGGUAUCUCUCAUUCAUAGAUGUUUAUGUUAGCACCAAAUUUCUGUGCAGUGAACCUCCCUACAUAUCAACAAUUCUACAUUUGUCAAUGAUAUCAUAAUAAAAUUCCUUAGCAGUUGAAUUACUGGGAUUAAGGGUGGGCACACUUCAAAUUUUGAAAAUUAUUGCAAGAUUUCCUUUAAAAUGUGAUUAAUAACUUUAUCCUCGAUGGCAAUGAAUGAGGUUGCCAACUUUCUCACAACCUCACAGAUAAAUGGACUUUAUAAAUAUUUAAAAUCUUUGCCAGUGCGAUCGCCCAAACUAUUGUCUUAAAUUGUAUUUCUUUUGUUUUUAAGUUUAAUCAUUUUUUCAUAUUUAUUAGCCAUUUGUAUUUUUUAAUUUCCUCUUUAUGCCCAAUUUUGGGGGUGUGGGGAGGUUUUAGCCUCAGAUUUCAAAGAGCACAUUUAUUAUUGGUAAAAUAAGUUUUGGAUUGUCAAGCAUUACAGAUAUUUAUACACACUUUUUAACUUUGUUUUUGUUAUAAGAAUGUGUAUGAUUGUUACAUGUUCAAGUAUAACCAUGUUUGCUUUGAUAGCUUCUGAGUUUCAUGUCAUUUUUGGAAAGAUAUUUAUACUGAGUCCAUAAAACCCUUCACCUAUGUUAACUUUGAAUUCUUUUGUGUUUUUUUAAUUCAAAUUCUUAAAUCAUGAGGAAUUUUUUGUUUUGAAAUCUUAAAGCUGCCAAGUUAUUCGCCAUUACUUGCGAUUAUUUGCCAAUAAUUGCCCAUUUAUCUGUAACCAUCUUGCGCAUAUGCUGUAUUCCCAUCUGUGACUGGCUCCAUUUUUGUUCUGUGGAUCUGUGUGUCUCUUCUUCUGCCUUCUGUCUCAUGUGUCUUCUCGUUGGAAGAAAUUACAGUUUAGACUGCAAUUUCAUCAACUUUAAUAAAUUAAUUUAGGGGA